AUUCAGCUGAAGAGUCACGGAUAAGACGAAAUGAGCGUCCUGAAU
rfam:Schistosoma mattheei strain Denwood, Zambia genome assembly, scaffold: SMTD_scaffold0008562